GGUGGGGUAACGGCCCACCAAGCCGAAGAUCGGUACGGGCUGUGAGAGCAGGAGCCCGGAGAUGGACACUGAGACACGGGUCCAGGCCCUACGGGGCGCUGCAGGCGCGAAACCUCCGCAAUGCGGGAAACCGCGACGGGGGGACCCCGAGUGCCGUGGCACCGCCACGGCUUUUCCGGAGUGUAAAAAGCUCCGGGAAUAAGGGCUGGGCAAGGCCGGUGGCAGCCGCCGCGGUAAUACCGGCGGCCCGAGUGGUGGCCGCUAUUAUUGGGCCUAAAGCGUCCGUAGCCGGGCCCGUAAGUCCCUGGCGAAAUCCCACGGCUCAACCGUGGGGCUCGCUGGGGAUACUGCGGGCCUUGGGACCGGGAGAGGCCGGGGGUACCCCCGGGGUAGGGGUGAAAUCCUAUAAUCCCGGGGGGACCGCCAGUGGCGAAGGCGCCCGGCUGGAACGGGUCCGACGGUGAGGGCCG
rnacentral:rRNA from 1 species